GACGAACGCUGGCGGCGUGCUUAACACAUGCAAGUCGAACGGAAAGGCCUCUUUCGGGGGGUACUCGAGUGGCGAACGGGUGAGUAACACGUGAGUAACCUGCCCUUGACUUUGGGAUAACUUCAGGAAACUGGGGCUAAUACCGGAUAGGAGCUCCUGCUGCAUGGUGGGGGUUGGAAAGUUUCGGCGGUUGGGGAUGGACUCGCGGCUUAUCAGCUUGUUGGUGGGGUAGUGGCUUACCAAGGCUUUGACGGGUAUCCGGCCUGGGAGGGUGACCGGGCACAUUGGGACUGGGAGACGGCCCAGACUCCUACGGGAGGCAGCAGUGGGGAAUAUUGCACAAUGGGUGGAAGCCUGAUGCAGCAACGCCGUGUGCGGGAUGACGGCCUUCGGGUUGUAAACCGAUUUCGCUCAUGACGAAGCUUUGCGUGACGGUAGUGGGUAAAGAAGCACCGGCUAACUACGUG
rnacentral:rRNA from 1 species